rnacentral:rRNA from 1 species
AGUGAACGCUGGCGGUAGGCCAAACACAUGCAAGUCGAACGGCAGCACAGUAAGAGCUUGCUCUUACGGGUGGCGAGUGGCGGACGGGUGAGGAAUACAUCGGAAUCUACUUUUUCGUGGGGGAUAACGUAGGGAAACUUACGCUAAUACCGCAUACGACCUACGGGUGAAAGCAGGGGAUCUUCGGACCUUGCGCGAUUGAAUGAGCCGAUGUCGGAUUAGCUAGUUGGCGGGGUAAAGGCCCACCAAGGCGACGAUCCGUAGCUGGUCUGAGAGGAUGAUCAGCCACACUGGAACUGAGACACGGUCCAGACUCCUACGGGAGGCAGCAGUGGGGAAUAUUGGACAAUGGGCGCAAGCCUGAUCCAGCCAUACCGCGUGGAUGAAGAAGGCCUUCGGGUUGUAAAGCCCUUUUGUUGGGAAAGAAAAGCAGCAGGUUAAUACCCCGCUGUUCUGACGGUACCCAAAGAAUAAGCACCGGCUAACUUCGUG